UACGUAGGGGCUAGCGUUAUCCGGAAUUACUGGGCGUAAAGGGUGCGUAGGCGGUCUUUCAAGCCAGAAGUGAAAGGCUACGGCUCAACCGUAGUAAGCUUUUGGAACUGUAAGACUUGUGUGCAGGAGAGGAGAGUGGAAUUCCUAGUGUAGCGGUGAAAUGCAUAGAUAUUAGGAGGAACACCAGUAGCGAAGGCGGCUCUCUGGACUGUAACUGACGCUGAGGCACGAAAGCGUGGGGAGCAAACAGGAUUAGAUACCCUGGUAGU
rnacentral:rRNA from 1 species